AGUGAGAAAGGACAAACCAUAGUGUUACAUUCACCUGUAGUUAACCAUGCCGAGGGAUUUGACAGAUAUAAAUCUGAUGAGUUACCACAUGAAGCAGGUUUUGACGCGUAUAUGUGCGGAGUUGUGUUUCUGAGAGUUGGACAUAUACUGACAUUCAAAGAUAAUAAGUCCUCAGAAGUUAUACCAUGUAUGUUCCGAAGAUAUUUACAAACAUUAGAAAAGAAAAGAAACAAAAUCAACGUAAUUAGAGCUACUAUAAAUCAUAUU